rnacentral:lncRNA from 1 species
AAACUACUUUCUCCUUUUUUUUUCUCCCUAAUUUAUUUAGAUUGAAAAAUAUUGUUUUAUCCCCCUAAAAUAUAUAUCUUGUUGCAACUAACUUUAAAAGUUCAAAAAGAAAAAACUUGUCCAUACUUACCGUCCCUUACUAACACGCAAUUAGGGUACCGUUUGACCUGAUUUUUUUCCAGCUUCUCUACGUUUUUAAGAAAAGUUAGGUCAAACAUAAUAUCAAUAAAAUACUUUUGAAAAAACAUACUCUUUUUAGAAUGCAUAAAAUUGAAUGAAAUGAGCUUUAACCAAAAGCUGUUGAAUGUUACUUCAAAAAACUACUUCUCCCCAAUUUAUUUCACAAGCACAUCUCUUUAACUCACGCUGACAACCUUUUCUUUUAUUUUUUAAAUAUGCUUUUUUCUUCCAUUUUAUUUUUUGAACCGAUCCAUUUAAUUGUUUUUAAUGACGGUCCAUUUAAAUUUAUUAUCUAUUUUUUAAGGAAUUUUAUUAUCUUUUUAUCACUUAUAUAUUAAUUUCAAUAUCUUUUGAUUAUCACAACCUCGCAAAUAUUUUUAUUCACGCUAUCAAUGAAUGAAGUUAGAAAUCAGUUCAUAUAAUUCAGGAAGAGUACAAGAUGGAGGCUACAUGAAAGAAGUUAGAAAUUAAAUAGGAGUUGCGUUGAUGGAGAGUAGAAAUGUUUGAGUUUGUGAUGAUUUGUGUUUUUUUUAAAAAAAAAAAAAAGAUAAUUAUUGUUUUUUAAUUUUCCAAACUACUUUGAUAUUAUUUAUGUUAUUAUUUGAGCCUCCUUAAAUUAUUUUUCCUAUUCAAAUAUUUAACAAGUUCUUUAUAUAUGAUGAUACAAAUUUGUAUUCAUGUUACACAAAAUAAACGUCAUUGAGUAAAUAUAGUAUUUGUAAAAAUAUAUCUUUUAUAUUUUAAACAUUUUUUCCCUUCAAAAAAUAUUUUAGACAUUUUUUUAUUUAUUAUGUUAAUUCGAAAUGAAUUCAAAGUUUUUUUUUAUUUAUAGACAAUGCAUAAAUAUAUGCAAGGUUUCAGGUUCGAACCUUAGACACCACCAAAAAAAUAAUAAAUUCAAAGUUUUGAACAAUAUUUUGUCAAACAGCUUUUUACUUAAAAAUAACUUUAGAAAUAAAAAAAAAUAAAGAAACCAAACGACUUUAGCCUUCUUUCUUAAAGGGCUUUAUUUUAACUUUGUUUUAAAGUAGCUUUUAGACCGAAAAAAAGCCUGACCAAACGAUACCUGAAAUUUUAUUUUUUUUCAAUUAACAUAGUGGCUAAAAAAAACAACGUCAUAUACCAAUAAAAACGAAACAAAGAAUUUCACCCACACAUACAUACACAUUUAUUAACAAUUUUAUUUAAUUAAAUUUGUUUUUGUAGGAAAACUUGGGGUAAAAAGUGUUUUCCGACUAGAAAUUCACUUUUAUAGUGAAUAAAUGGGAAAUCCGUAGCUUGAAUCCCAACAUCUGCAUAUAUUAUGUGAUUUACAAGUCAAUGAAAUUGAUCCCUAUCUCUUCAAAACAAACGGGAAAACAUACUUCACUAUUUCUCAACUAUGACUUUUAUGGUCACAGGGCCAUACCAUUGCCAGUCAAGGCUAGGAUAAACAACUUAACCUAAAAAUUUUAGGGGCCCAUAAUAUUAUUUUUUUUGUAAAUAAGGCCGAAAAAUAUUCAUUAUAUGCUGUCAAAGUUAAAUCAUUUCAAACAAGUAGCACCAAUCUAAUAUAGUGUUUGUAGGCGCCUAGUCCUCGGUUUCAAGACUAUGGUAGUGUGCUUUUUAGUCUUUUUUUUUUUAAAUUAUGUGUUCAAUGUUUGUUUUAUUAAGGGCCCGAUUUAUAAGUUUAAAAGGAGGUCUUCGAUUCGUCUAAGACGGACCGGAUGGUCACUCAUAUAUACAGAGAGGGGAAAAAUCAUUGUGCUACAAGUUAGCCAACUUAGGCCUAUCUUUAACUUCUUUUGUUUUGGUGGAAUGAGAUGCAUAUUCAAAUUAGGGAAGAUUUUAAUUACUUGAAAUAGAUUCGGUCUUCCUUAUUUUAGAUUUUGUUUAUCUUUUUGAAUGUUUGGUUCUAUGUCCCUCGUCUUACUCUUAUACUUCAUUUCGUUUAUGAAUAUAUUUUAGGGGUUUGUUUUUCCUUAGGCCACAAGUUUCUCUUGUUAUAUAUGCUCCACAAUUCAAUGAUAAUACAGUCCAUUUUAAGGAUAAGAAAAAAAAUAUAUAAAUUUUCAAGUUCAUAAAUUUUUUGCACAUAAGUGCAAAACUUCGGGGGGGUAUUUGCAAAACGUCAUGUUGACUAACAAAAGAAUUUGACCGAUGGGGUAAAUUGAUUAACGUUGUGCAAUUUUAGGGGGUAAUUGAAGUUUUGUUGAUUUCAGAGGGUAAUAGAUGAAACUUACAAUUUCAAAGGGGUAAUUGCAUAUUUACUUGAUAUUGGAACGAUCAAUUCGUACAUCUAAGUUAAAAGAAAAUAAGCAAACAGAGAGAUAUAUGGUGUACAUAAUUUCACAUAGGGCUUAAGAUUUUUUUUCUUUUAACUAAAAAUUAGAGUACAAACAUAACGGUAUAUCAACUAUAUUGGCAACUCACCCAAGGCCAUCAUCUAUCAUAUGGAGAACCCUAAUAAAUUAUUGAAAUAAAAAGAUGAAUAGAAGGCUUAGAAAACUUGGCCAAACCCUAAGAAAACAAACAACAACUGCAUCGAUAAAAACUUAAUAGGACAAAGUAAAACCAUAAUGAAUAGAAGAAGAGUGUAGUGCAAGAAAACAGCAAUUAAUUAGUACAAAUAUCAUGACAAACAAAGCCUAAACUCAAUAUUCAAUUCCACAAUCUUUGAAACAACCUUAUUUGAAACGGAAAAUCAGGAAUACAACAUCUAUUAAAAAAAAAAAGUAUUCUCUCUAAUAACAACAAAUGAAGGAAACUCCCAUGAGCUUGUGAAUAUCAUGCAUAGAAUCCAUGUUUUCACUAAAACAAGCAGUGUUUUUAAUUUGCUCAAGUUUGAGUCGAGCGGCUUCUCUUUCAAUUUGUGUAUUCUUCAUUCGUCUCCGAUUAGCCAAAAUCUUCUUAGCUUCAUGAUGAUCAAUAAAAGUGUCAGCUGAUUUUUUAUAAUUCGUUUGCUCUGAUGAAGUUUCUCUUUCUUCUUCUUCUGGCCUUGCGAUUCUUUUUGGAACCGCACUAAUUAAAACAACUUUUCUCUUUUUGAAACAUGUUCUUUCUAGAGAAAAUAAUUUGCCCUUGAGUGCACAUCGAACCUCUUUUCGUCGCAGUAAUUCCAUCUAGGGUUUUUGGUAGCCGAUUGUAAUGAUAUUUCCAUCCAUAUCAUUUGGUUAUAUAUAUAUAUUUCCAUGACACUACUUUCUUCACAUGGAUCGAUGACUCAAUUAAUGAAUACCGUUGAUUAUUUCUAAAUGGAUGGUUGGAUUCAUAUUGAUGAUAAUGCAUGUAAUUCGGAGGUGCAGAUUGGAUUUCUUAAUUUUUUAAAUGCAGAUAUCUCGCGGUUAUACUUUCUCCCUUUUUUAUAAUUAAUUAAAAAAAUUACUUUCUCCUUUUUAUUCUCUAUAAUUUAUUUAGAUUGAAAAAUUCUUUCUUGACGGUCGCUUGUUAACACCCAAUAAGAAUCUUUUUUCUUUUUUUUUCAAUUAACAUAGUGAUUAAAAAAAACAACAACGCAUAUACCACGAAAAACCAAACAAAGAAUUUCACCACCCACACACACACAUUCAUUAACAAUUUUUUUAAUUAAAUUAAAUUUGUUUUUAGAGGAAAACUUGGGGUAAAAAGUGAUUUCCGGCUAGAAAUGCACUUUUAAAGUGAAUAAGUGGAAAAUUCGUAGUUUGAACCCCCAACAUCUGCAUAUAUCAUGUGAUUUACAAAAAAAUUUCAAAGAUAUUAGUUGAGAGUUUCUUGGUGUUUUUUCUGAUAACCUUGAUUAUUCAAACUCUUUGAAUGUUGGGCUUAUUGGAGCUAUGUAUGCAGUAGAGAUUGCUUUCCUUAAAGGGUGGACUUACCUUUGACUUGAAACUGACUCUAUGCUAGUUACCGUCGCAUACAAGUCAAUGAAAUUGUUCCCGGCCUCUUCAAAAGAGAUGGGAAAACAUGCUUCACUAUUUCUGAACUAUGACUUUUACGGUCACCAUGGUCGGUCCACUGCCCGUCGAUGCUGGGCUAGAGCACUGGGCCUCAAAAUUUUAGGAGCCCAUAAUAUUAUUUUUGUAAAUAAGGCCGAAAAAUAUUUAUUAUAUACCGUCAAAGUUAAAAAAUUCAAACAAGUAGCAACACUCUAGCAUAGUGGUGUGUUUUUUGGUCAUUUUUUUAAAUUAUGUUUUCGGUGUUUGUUUUAUUAAGGGCCCACUUCAUAAGUUUAAAACGAGGCCUUCGAAUCGUCUAAUACGAACCUAAUGGUCACUCAUAUAUAAAGAGAGGGGAAAAUCGUUGUGCUACAAAUUAGCCAAACUUGGCUUAUCUUUAACUUCUUCGGUUUGGCGUGGAAUGAGAUGCAUACUCAAAUUAGGGAAGACUUUACUAUAAAUAGAUUAAGUCUUCCUUAUUUUAGAUUUUGUUUAUCUUUUUGAGUGUUUGUUUUAUGUCCCUCGUAUUUCUCUUAUACUUCUUUUCUUUUAUGAAUACCAGUGAAAAGACGGACACUCGUGUGUCUGUCUUUUCGCUCUUUUUUAAUGCGUUAACGUUUGAAAAUUAUAAACGGUGUUUUUUUAGGAAAUUUUAAUUUGGAUUAAAAGUAAAAAUAUAAAUGUCUUUUGCUUUCAAAUUAUAACAAAUCAAAUUAACCAUGAUUAUCUAUUUCAAUGAAACCAACAAUAUAACAAAAAGUUGUUGCAUUCAGAAUAAAGUUAUUGGUGGUUAACUGAAGAUGUAUUAGUGCUUUCAAAAUAAGAUGGACAUUUUUUUUUAUUUGAAAGAUAUAUAAGAUGGAUAUUGGAACGAUCAAUUCAUACAUCUAAGUUAAAAGAAAAUAAGCAAACAGGGAGAUAUACAGUGUACAUAAUUGCACAUAGGGCUUAAGACUUUUUUCUUUUAACUAAAAAUUAGAGUACAAAGACGUCAUAUGAUAGUAACUACAUCUCAACUAUAUUGACAUCCCAAGACCAUUACCUAUCAUUUGAAGAACCCUAAUAAAUACAUUGAAAUAAAAAAGAUGAAUAGAAAGCUUAGAAAACUUGGCCAAAACCUAAGAAAACAAACAACAACUACAUCGAUAAAAACUUAACAUGACAAAAUUAAACCAUAUUGAAGAUGAAAAUAGUGUAGUGCAAUAAAACAAGAGUUAAUUACAAAUAUCAUGACAAACAAAGCCUAAACUCAAUAAGGUAGUAUCUAUUAAGAAAAAGUAUUAUCUAAUAACAAUUGAAGGAAACUCCAAUGAGCUUGUGAAAAUCAUACAUAGAAUCUAUGUUCUCACUAAAACGAGCAGUGUUUUGAAUUUGCUCAAGUUUGAGUCGAGCGACUUCUCUUUCACUUUGUAUAUUCUUCCUUUGUCUCCAAUUAGCCAAAAUCUUCUUCACUUCUUGAUGAUCGAUAAGAGAGUCAACUGAUUUUUUAUAAUUUGUUUGCUCUAAGGAAGUUUCAUGAUCAGUAACUCUUUCUUCUUCUUCCGGCGUUACGAUUUUGUUCGCAACCACACUAAUUGAAACAACUUUUCUCUUUUUGCAGAAUUUUCUUUCUAGAGAAAAAUAUUUGCCCUUGAAUGCACAUCGAACCUCUUUUCGUCGCAGUAAUUCCAUCUAGGGUUUUUGGUAGUUGAUAUUAAUGAUAUUUCCUUUCAUAUCAUUAGGUUAUAUAUAUAUAUAUAUAUAUAUAUAUAUAUAUAUAUAUAUAUAUAUAUAUAUAUAUAUAUAUAUAUAUAUAUAUAUCCAUGACACUACUUUCUUCACAUGGAUCGAUGACUUAAUUAAUGGAUACCGUUGAUUAUUUCUAAAUGGAUGGUUAGAUUCAUAUUGAUGAAAAUGCAUGUAAUUCUUAAUUUUUGGAAUCCAGAUAUCGCGCGGGUAUACUUUCUCCCUUUUUUAUUAAUUAAAAAAAUAAUAUUACUUUCUCCUUUUUUUUCUCCAUAAUUUAUUUAGAUUGAAAAAUUAUUACUUUCUUUUCAUCAAUAUUGUUUUAUCCCCUGUAACGAAAAAAAUAUAUAUAUAUUGUUUUAUACCCCUAAAAUAUAUAUCUUGUUGCAACUAACUUUAUAAGUUCAUUAGUUAAAAAAAAAAAAAAAAAAACGUGUCCAUACUUGACGGUCCCUUGCUAACACCCAAUUAGAUUUUUUUUUCUUCAAAAAAAAACAAGGCCAUAUAACACGAAAAACCAAACAAAUAAUUUCACCACACAAAUAUUAACAAUUUUUUUAAUUUAAUUAAAAAUAAAUAAAAUUUGUUUUAGGAGGAAAACUUGGAUAAUAAGUGGAAAAUAUGUAGUUUGAACCCCUCAACAUCUACAUAUAUUAUGCGAUUUACAAUUUUUUUUCAAAGACAUUAGUUGAGUUUCUUGAUGCUCUUUCUCAUAACCUUGGUUAUUCAAACUCUUUGAAUAUUGAUCUUAUUGGAGCUACGUAUGCAGUAGAGAUUGCUUUCCAUAAAGGGUGGACUUAGCUUUGACUUGAAAGAGACUCUAUGCUAGUUACCUUUGCAUACAUGUCAAUGAAAUUGUUCCUUGACUCUUCAAAACAGAUGGGAAAAUAUGCUUCACUAUUUCUCAACUAUGACUUUUAUGGUUGUCAGGGUUGGCCCAUUGCCCGUCGAUGCUGGGCUAGACCACUGGGCCUCAAAAUUUUAGGGGCCCAUAUAUUUGUAAAUAAGGCUGAAAAAUAUUAAUUAUAGUCUUUGUAGGCACCUGGUCCUAGGUUCAAGGCCCUGGUAGUGUGUUUUUUAGUCAUUUUUUUAAAAUUAUGUUUGCGGUGUUUCUUCAACAAUAUUUUUUCAAAAAUAUAUGAUAAUAUUAUUUAAAAGGUUUAUAAAAAUAAUAGAAACUAUAUAAGUUUUUCAUAAAUUAAGAAUUUAGUUUGUAAAUAAAAUUAAAAAGUAAACUAAAAAUUAAAAUAUACCAUAUAAUGCAUUGUUCCUAUUAAUUGAACUAUUCUCAUAGUGAUCGUCUUGACGAUAGUAUUUAAAAUCUGUCAGACCGACUAACUUAAUAAGAACAUAUUUUAUUUUGGGACAUAUUACACAAACCUCUAUUUUUGUUUGAAAUUUCCUUAUAUAUUUAAAAUAGUGUGGUCCACCUUCCUGUUUAAAAAAGAAGUGGUUCACCUCUGAAUCGGGUCCGUAUUUGAAGAACGGAAAUUUAUUAUUUGUGUUUUAAGACAAUACAUACUCUCGUCAUCAUAGUUCACUAUUAGGAGGCACACUUUUAAUUUUUUUUUUUUUUUUGUAUAGGCACACUUUUAAUUUAAUAUAUGAAUUAAAAUAGUUUUUUCUAGAGUAAAUCGUUCAUUAGCUAGUUGUUAUUAGUAUGUUUAAACAAUGGUAUAAAGCAAAGAAGUUUAAAAAAGUUGGAGAAAUCGACGUAAUAAUAACUUAAAAUUGUGAAUAAUAAGUCUAAAAUGUUAACAAGAAAAAUAAAAAUUCAUACUUGUUUACUAAUAUUUUUUGGUAAUACAUAACUUUAAUUGUACCUUGAUUGUAAUAUGAUAUUGCGUCAUUAGGUGUGGUGUCGGAGACGACAUUUGAUGUUGGAGUCUCUGAAAAAAUAUAGUGAAUUCUUAUUAGGAGAAUGUGGCUAAAUAUUAGUAAUUAUAAAGAUAAAUAAUUACUAAAUUUUGUUGGAACAAAAUGUGUUUUUACAAUAAACCUUAAUGAGUUUUGAUGAUAACAAGGUAUUAAAAAUUGUCAAUUGGUUAUUGCUAAUAUUUGUUCAAGUGUACAGGAUCAUAGGCAAAGUUAAUCAAUUUCAAUAGGUCUUGGAAGAACAAAAGAGAGCAAAGGAACCAUCAAGAAGAGGAACCUAAAGCAUAUGAAGAAAACUGCGUUUGAAGCUAUGAAGUGCUUCUGAAGUUUCGAGUGCCUCUGAAGUAAUGACGUCAUCAGAAGCAGAAGUCAUCAGAAGCAAAGUUCAUCAGAAGCAAGAUUUCAUCAGAAGCUAUAUCAUCACCGGAAGCUACAGUUGAUCAGAAGAUUCAAUCUGAAAUCUCAAAAGAGCUGUCUCUUGAAGUUAACCUCGUCUAAGAGAGCGAAAGAUCGAAAGGGAGUUGCCAACGUUCUUUUGAAAAGCACUGCGUGCUUGUCCUUUAUUGAAGAGUUGACAAAGUACAAGUGUACAACCACUACCUCCACGACCCUGAGUGUGUCCUCGCUACAAGACAAGAUAACAGCUCUGCCUGCAAAAUUGUUCCUUCAAGAUAGGAAUGAAUUUGAAGUUAAUCCUUCAUAGGACUACAUCCAAAUCAGGCAAAAGAUUACUGGUGGAUGAUCAAAGGUCUCAACGAAUCUUUAGACGUGCUUAAGAUCUCAACGUCUCUCUACACACCUCUAUAUAAGGAAGUGAAGACUUGAAGAUCAGCAGAGACAUUACUACAAGGUUAAAGCGUCCAAACUCUGCCAAAUUUGUUUCUCAAAAUCACUUUGAAUUUCUGCACUGAUUUGAUAUAUCUUAGAAAUUCUUAAGUCUAGAGUCUUUUAUUGCAUUGUAUUGUGAACACCACUGAUUGUAUAUCAAGUGUUCAAAGUCAAACAAUUUUCUGUGUAAUUUUGUUUGAUUAGAAGUCUCUUGCUUUAGUGCUUGAGCAUAGGAAGUCUCUCGCCUGCGUGCUUGAGCAUUUGGGAAGUCUCAUACUAGGUAGUAUUGAGCAGUUGUAAUCUGUGUGAUUAUUUCUUAGUGGAAAUCUCCUUGGAAGUGCAAGGGGGACUGAACUACUUCCGAUUUGUGGAAGGAACCAGGAUAAUUGCUUGUGUCUCUGUUUCUUUUCUCUACUCUGUUUUUAUUCCGCUGCGUAUCCAAUUCUGAACAUCACAUCAGAAGCACUCUUAACCAGCUUCUGAAGUGAUAUCAGAAGAAGAAUUUUCCGAGAAAAAGAAAACACAAUUCAACCCUUGUUUACUAAUAUUUUUUGGUAAUACAUAACUUUAAUUGUACCUUGAUUGUAAUAUGAUAUUGCGUCAUUAGGUGUGGUGUCGGAGACGACAUUUGAUGUUGGAGUCUCUGAAAAAAUAUAGUGAAUUCUUAUUAGGAGAAUGUGGCUAAAUAUUAGUAAUUAUAAAGAUAAAUAAUUACUAAAUUUUGUUGGAACAAAAUGUGUUUUUACAAUAAACCUUAAUGAGUUUUGAUGAUAACAAGGUAUUAAAAAUUGUCAAUUGGUUAUUGCUAAUAUUUGUUCAAGUGUACAGGAUCAUAGGCAAAGUUAAUCAAUUUCAAUAGGUCUUGGAAGAACAAAAGAGAGCAAAGGAACCAUCAAGAAGAGGAACCUAAAGCAUAUGAAGAAAACUGCGUCUGAAGCUAUGAAGUGCUUCUGAAGUUUCGAGUGCCUCUGAAGUAAUGACGUCAUCAGAAGCAGAAGUCAUCAGAAGCAAAGUUCAUCAGAAGCAAGAUUUCAUCAGAAGCUAUAUCAUCACCGGAAGCUACAGUUGAUCAGAAGAUUCAAUCUGAAAUCUCAAAAGAGCUGUCUCUUGAAGUUAACCUCGUCUAAGAGAGCGAAAGAUCGAAAGGGAGUUGCCAACGUUCUUUUGAAAAGCACUGCGUGCUUGUCCUUUAUUGAAGAGUUGACAAAGUACAAGUGUACAACCACUACCUCCACGACCCUGAGUGUGUCCUCGCUACAAGACAAGAUAACAGCUCUGCCUGCAAAAUUGUUCCUUCAAGAUAGGAAUGAAUUUGAAGUUAAUCCUUCAUAGGACUACAUCCAAAUCAGGCAAAAGAUUACUGGUGGAUGAUCAAAGGUCUCAACGAAUCUUUAGACGUGCUUAAGAUCUCAACGUCUCUCUACACACCUCUAUAUAAGGAAGUGAAGACUUGAAGAUCAGCAGAGACAUUACUACAAGGUUAAAGCGUCCAAACUCUGCCAAAUUUGUUUCUCAAAAUCACUUUGAAUUUCUGCACUGAUUUGAUAUAUCUUAGAAAUUCUUAAGUCUAGAGUCUUUUAUUGCAUUGUAUUGUGAACACCACUGAUUGUAUAUCAAGUGUUCAAAGUCAAACAAUUUUCUGUGUAAUUUUGUUUGAUUAGAAGUCUCUUGCUUUAGUGCUUGAGCAUAGGAAGUCUCUCGCCUGCGUGCUUGAGCAUUUGGGAAGUCUCAUACUAGGUAGUAUUGAGCAGUUGUAAUCUGUGUGAUUAUUUCUUAGUGGAAAUCUCCUUGGAAGUGCAAGGGGGACUGAACUACUUCCGAUUUGUGGAAGGAACCAGGAUAAUUGCUUGUGUCUCUGUUUCUUUUCUCUACUCUGUUUUUAUUCCGCUGCGUAUCCAAUUCUGAACAUCACAUCAGAAGCACUCUUAACCAGCUUCUGAAGUGAUAUCAGAAGAAGAAUUUUCCGAGAAAAAGAAAACACAAUUCAACCCCCCCCCCCCCCCCUUCUUGUGUUUUUCUCACCUUCAAAUUUAACUAAGUAAUUGUUAGAAAAUAUCGUUUUUACCACUUGUAGUGUCAUCACUAUUUCUUCUACUUGGUCCCGCUUCAUUGUCAUUAGUUCCUUGAAAAUAUCCUGAAUCAAUAUGACGAUAUAUAAGUUGUAGUAGAAAGCACAAAGGUUAAUUUAUAAAAAAUGAGUAAUAUAAUGUAUAUUCUUAUAUAAGUAUUUGUAAUUGAAGUAAGCUUGAAAUAAAUUAAGAAACAAUUAUAUUAUAUCACUAACCAGAUGUGGUGUGAUAGAAUUAUCGACUACUACUUGAUCCAACCUCAUUAUCAUGAGUUCCUUGAAAAUAUGCUGAAACAAAAUGGUGGUAUGUAAGUUUUAAUAGAAAGUACAAAGAUUAUUUUAUUAAAAAUGAUUAAUAUAUUGUAAAUUGUUAUAAGUAUUUAUAAUUUGAAGUAAGCUUGAAAUAAAUUAAGAAACAAUAAUUUUUUAUCACUAACCAGAUGUGGUGUGAUUGAUUCGUCGACGACUACUUGUUCCAGCCUCAUUGUCAUGUGUUCCUUGAACACGUGACGAUGUGAAAUUUAAAUUUGUCAAAUCAUUAAAUAGCAUCAUGUGAUCUCUGUUUGUUUCACUUGUUGUCUGAGGUUGUUUCCCCCUUUCUUUUGAUUGUCUAUAAUUUGUUCGCCUUCUAGACAAUUCUUGUUGUCUUUGCUCGGUGCUCAUAUUUUCCCUCCAAUUUCUUGCAUUUUGAGUUCGUCUUACCCUUUGCAGAUCCCUUGAUUGUUGCCCGCGAUUAUUUUCCAUCUUAUUUUGAUGUUUGUUGAUCUGUGCAAUUGAAAGAAGCAUUUACAAAUUUACUAUCAAAACCAAAAAUGAACUAUGGUAGAAGGAAAAAUUAUUAAAAAAGUGCCGGCAAGGAAAAAAAAGGAAAAAUUAUGAAUGUGGACUAUGUUCUAAAAUAGUAUGAAAAUGAGAUUGAUAUUUUUUAUCACAAACUCGAUUAUAUUCUAAAAUCUUCAAACUGAUACAUGUUAUUUUUUUAAAUAAAAUAAUCAUUUAAACAUGUGACAAAUUUUGUUUCAAUUGAAAAAUAAAAGAAUGAAUAAAGGAAACAAACACAAAUAGAUACAAAAAGGAUUAAGGAAAAAAAGGAUGAAAAAGUAGGACAGUAUAUUUAUCUUAAAAAAUGUUUAAUUUAAAAAAAAUUAUUAAAAAAGGAUACAAAUCUUCUUAAAUAAUUAAUUAGUUUCUUUUUUUAUGCAGAUCCAGCUUUUUAAAAAGACAAUUAUUUGUUCCCACAUAAACCAAUUUAAACUAAAGAUUGUAAGCAUAUUCUAAAAUAAUUUAUUUGAAAUAAAAAAAGUAGAAAACUAUAUUCUUUCUUGAAUUAACAUAGCAAUAAGAGAUACUGUGACUUACGCAAACUCAAUCAGCAAAGAAGUCUGAAUUGUCAAAAAAUGAGAGGAUUAGAAGUCCCUUAAAUCCAGAUCGCUCCUUCUGUGCAUCUCUCUAAAAAUUACAUUAAGCAUAACCAAAAGAGUCACAACCUCAAAAUUGAGAAUACAUUUUUUUUGCAUAACAAUUAGUCCAGUUAUUAAAAAAUAAAUAGUUUGUUGAAUAAUUAUCAAGGCAAUGGUAUAAGUUUUUGCAUCGGUAGUUAUAUUAGUAUCAAUAUUUAGUAGUUCUGAGUAGGUUUAGUGGAGGCACUUACAAAAUGUAGGCAUUGCCAUACAGAUUCUCAUUGAAGGACAAAAUUGAUAGAAAAAUUAGUGUUCCUUUUCAUUGAUGGAGGCUUUGUCAUUCAUAUGAUGUGGUUAAAUAUUGAUCUUCAAGUAAUGAAGACAUGUUCUUUAAAAAAAUAAAAAUAACGAAGACAUGUAGUAUAUUUACAACCUACUGCCUAUAUCUCUAGUAAUCAAAACCGUAAUAAUUAUCCAAAUGACUUAAAAGGAGCAUACAGAUAAAACUAUUCAAAGCCAUCAUAUUAGAAUUAAAGUUAAAACAUCCAAAUUUAUGAUGAGAAAAUAUGAGUUAUCUGAAGUAAAAAUAGUGUUCAUAACACAUGCAACGGAAUAAAGUUUGGAUCUAUUUUGCGCAUAAAUUAUAAAUUAUAAAUUAAAUACUAAAAGUGUACCUUUGUAUCAAUUCUUGAAGCAUGAAAAUUCUUCAAUGAUAUGAAGACUCUACAUGUAUCCACACCGAGACCAAUUCUUACCCUCAACCUUUGAGUAGUGGAACUAGAAAACUAGAACAUAUUUCUAUUUUGUAUUCUUGUUGUUGUGUUGUGUGUUGUGCCCAAAUCACUUAAGGUCUAUUUAUAGAUCACACACUACUAUCAAAUAGAAUGUGUUGACUCAUCUUAAUGACCUUUUAUUUCAUAUGGUCAAUCAAUAAAAAUAAUUAACACAUAUUAAUGCUAAUUUAUUUGAAAAAUAUUUUUUCUACUAAGGAGAUCAUUGACCAAUAUGAUUCCACAUAACUAUAUAUAAUUGUGUAUAUAUAAUGUUGUACGAUUUCCUUUUCUUUCUAAAUGAUCAACCAUUGACCAUUGUUAUAUUCCUAUAUAUAGAUUAUAUAUAUAAUUAGUAAAGAUAAUGCAACUUACAACAACAUUUCUUAUUUAUUUAUUUUUCAAUAAAUAAAUAACAUGCUCAAUUUAAUUAUAUAUUAUUUGUAUUCUUUGUACUAGCAAAAAAUACAAUAAUAUUCCACUUAGAAAAUUUAUAUUUUGAUUAAUUAAAUUCUUCAAUUUAAUCAUCAAAUAAUAAAAUAAUUCUUUAGUAAGAAUUAGAACACUCGUUUAUGUGUGAUCCUGUAGGUUCAAUACUAAACUGGUAAUAGAUUAAUCAAAUUAAUAUAUUAAUCAAGGUAGGCGUCUAGUAACACUCCUUAACGUCCAGGUAGUAUGAAGUAUUAUUUUACUUUCAAGAACCAAAUAGAAUGACAUAAUAUUUUUCUUCCGUCGUUACAACUCUUGUUAACUCUAGAGCAUGGUACAAUUGUCAAACUCUAAUAAGUUAACAUAUAUGACUUAAUAAACUCAUUUCUUCUUUCAUUUAGUUUCCCUGGCUAGGGUUUUGAUUUUAUCAUAGAGUUCAAACUCAUUACCAAGAGUUGACGGAUCCCAUCUUGAUUAGUCAUUAAUUAUACAAACAUUUAAUCGUAUCCAAUAUCCUUUCAACUAACACCCUAAGGUUAGGUGUUCAGAAUCAAAAUACAAUAAAUAACAUGUUAAUUACUAUGACAAUCUCAGGUCAAAGAAAAUUAUUAUAUUCUUUCUUGAGAACUUUUCUAUUGACAAUUUGAGGUAAUAUCGACCAUUAGAAAUUCUCAGUUGAGUCAGUUCAAUGAUCACAUCUCUAUAUGCAUCAUCUAUAUAUGUAAUUUAAUAAAUGAGACUUAUUAAUCUUUAUCCAAUAAAGACUAUCACAUAUAUAUUGAUCUAUCCGAAUUAUUGAUGUCCUCGAUCAAGAACAAUUUAGAUUAAAAAAUAAUAAAAGACUUGUUUCUCAUUAUCAUAAUCUCUAUCAUGAUAACAAGUCUAUAGUUUUAAUCAAGGACAUUAUCAAAUGAACUAUUUCACUAAACAGUAAACAAGAUAAUGAAUAUUUAUUAAUUUUAAAAUUGGUUACAUAAUUGAUUGGAUCUUGGGCAUCUCCAACAUUAUCCAAAUUUAAAUAUUAUUACACAACUAGAAUAUUAAAAUGUUAUUAACAAUGGAAAUAUUAAUUACUCGUCAUCCUGCUCUUCCUCCUCCUCCUCAAUGUAGUGAUCCUUAAACUCACGUGAAGAGAUCAUCUCGAGUUGGUGUUGGUCGUAUAUAUUAGUUCAUGGAAGCAAAUUGUUGCAUAACGCUUUCUUGAAUUACUCAUCUCUCCUUAGGUUUCCGGUCUAACCUUUCCCUCAACUCCUUCUUCACCUCAGUACUCAUCUUCAAUUGUUGGCUUUGUGACUGCAAUUGAUUAGUAUUUUUUAAUUAAUUAUAACCUACCUCCGUAACAAAAUAUAAACACAAUGAGUCAAUAAAAAUUGAUAUAUUUAAUUUAAAUUUAGUACCAAAUACAUCAACUUCCUUUAACGCAAUUUUUAUUAUAUCAUAUUAGGGAGGGGGUAUGACUAAUGAAAUAUAUACAAAUUAAACAUAUAUUUUUCCUCUAAUAAAAUAUAUAUUUUUAUCGUAUGUCUAGUCAAAUUCUGAAUACUAAGAAAACUUGUGUGUAGAUUUCCUUCCUUGAUGCUCGAUUCUUUCUAUUUGUCUAAAAUCGCUUUCUAAAUCUCUCAUUUUAAGUCCAAAUAUUUUUCGGCAAAAUACCUCUUUCGAUUCUUUAAGUUUGACAAAAAUACUGAGUUAGUUUUUAAGUUUUUUUAAGUUUUAAACAGGUCUUUUAAAUUUUUUUAGGUUUCAAAUAUGUCAUUUAAAUUGUUAAUUUAAUGCACCUAUUUUAAAAUUUUUAAAAUUUUUAUGUUUUAAAUAAAUCCUUAAAAAGAUAAUAAGAACUUAUUUAAAACUUGAAAAACUUACAAGAUUAAUCUUAUACCUUUGUCAACCUUAAAGGAUCAAAAAGAUAUAUUUAACCUAUUUUCGCCAAUCCAUGUAGUACUUUGAGCAUUGUCACUGCGAUAAGCGUUUUGUUCAUCGUAUAACAUACGUGACAAACAUUUUUUAGCUAAAGGAUGAAAAAAAAAAAAGUGUGUAUCUACCUCAGCAAAGAUUUCUUAACUCCAAAAAUGCACCAUUAGAUUUUGUGUGUAUUUAAAUUUCACUAUUAUAUUUUUUGUAAGUUGCACAAAAAGAGGUGGAAUAAUUAUGAUGUAUUGAUAAAAAAUAAUAAUCAAUAUAAUUAGAAAUUUAAAAAGGAUCUUAUAAAAAGGUGACAACAAAUUUCUUAAAAACUAUAUUUAGAAACGGAGGUGGGUGGUAUUUUCUUCAAGAAGUAAGUUAAUUUUAUUUUUUCUAUAAAUAAAUCAAAUCUCAUUUUGUUUCAUAUAUUAAAGUGAGUUUUUAAUACAUAGCAUAACUAUAAAUGUCGAUGUUGCCAAGUUGUAUACUUUUACUCAAAAUUGAACUAAGAUCUCAAAGGUUUAUAUUAGGGGUGUUCAAAACCGAACCAACCUAAUAAAAAAAUCGUAAAUCAAACCACUUGGUUCGGAUGAAUUCAGAUGACUUUUGCACUGAACCGCGCGGUUCGUUUUGGUUUGUAGUUUGCAUCUCAGCAACCGAACCAAACCAAACCAAACCGCAAGAAUAAUGAAUAUUACUUGAACAUGUACUAGCCCAACUACAUAGCUCAAGAAUAAUCGUUUUUGAUUCGAUUUUUCCAUUGUUGCACCAUCAAGUUCGAUUCUAAUUCCUUUCCAUCUCUUUCAAUUCAUUUACAGUGAUGAAUUUGUUUCAUUUACUUUCCAAUAAUUUGUUUGAUGCUUAUGUUUCUUCUUAAUUUUACCUAUUUUGAUAUAAGUUUUACCUAAUAUAUUAUCAUAUAAACAGCAAAAUAAAAUAUUAUAUGUUUAUUUUGUAACAAGUUGGCAAUAUUAGAGUUAAUGUAAUAUUUUUACAUCUCGCGGUAAACCGCACAAACCGAACGAAUCCAAACUGCAUUGAUUUGGUUUGGUUUGGAUGACUUUUUAAAAAUCAACUGAACCAAACCAAACCGCAUAUUUUUUUUAUCUCACACUUUGGAUGUAUUUUAUGCUCAAAACCGAACCAAACCGCACCGCGAACACCCUUAGUUUAUAUUACUUUAUAAAAAAAGAGUCAUAUUAACUUAUUUUCUAAGAACAUAAAUUAAAGAGCUUAAAAUAAAAUUAUUAUAAAUGUUAUAUUGAGAAUGAUAACUUUUAAAACUUUUAAGUUACUAUUAAAUAUACAAUUUCUAAGAAAAAACUUCCACAUUUAAUUUCUUAAUUUAUGGUCUAAAAUAGUUAUCGAUUUUUUACUUGUAUAUUCGAUUUUGUUCCUUAAUCAAACAAGUGAGUAAGCAAUGUUUCCUGAAUGGACGGAAGGAAAAAGUGGUGUCAUCAACUAUACCAAUUUAAGAUCUUCUCCUACUAAGUACUAUAUUUUUGUUUAGAGUGACUAGGAUUAGGAAAGAGACAAAAAAUGACGUGUAAUAACUUUGUAUGUAUAGCAAAUGUAAUAAUGUAAUGAUUAAGGAUGAGGAUAAGAAUGAUGGAAUGCUAUCUCAAUCAUGAGUCAUGACUAUAAACACGUUACGGUCUACGCAGCACGCCCGCCCAUAGGCUGAAUCCGAAAACCGUGUUCUAUAUACAGUGUACUUCGCCUCUAUAGAGUCUAGCCACAGCCCACAGCACACGCAUCUCACGUGGUGUAAUAGAAUAUUCUUUACAACUUUUCUGUCCUUUUCCUUCUCACUUGUCCAUUCACACACUUUUAUUUUUAUUUUACUACACUUUUAUCAUUAGUCAAUUCUAUCUUAAGAAAAAUUUAAUUUGUAAUUGGAUUCUUAAGUCUAACUUUCUAAAAAGAAGGUUAAUAAAAUUUUCAUCCCUAUAAAUAUAGUAAAUAAUAAAUUUAGUCUUCAAAAAAUAAAAUUGGAUAUUCAUCCUCGCAAUUUUUUAUUUCAAUUUUGAUACUUAAUAAUCAAUUUAUGUUCAUAUUAAUGUUAAUUUUAUGACAUUUUACAAAUUAAUAUGCAUUCAAGUUAUGUUAAUCUAUCAUAUCAAACAUUUCUAUUUUUGUAUUAUUAUGUUUAAAAAAUAUUAAAAUUAUAUUCAUUAGAGACCAAUGACAGAGAUAUUGCAUAUUAGAUGCAGAGGUCGGAGUUCCAACUCCAGACAUCCCACUUCACCACAUUUAAUUGUGUGAGUUCUAACCACUGGACUACUUGACAAAAAAAAAAGACCAAAAACAAAACAAAAGUUUCUCUUAAAAAAAAAUAACAAAACAAAAAAUAUUAGGAGGACGAAAUCAUCACAUUUUAUUUUGUAGGGGUUAAAUCAAAUCGCUAUUCUUUAGAGAUAGAUAAUUUAUUUAACCUUAAAAAAUUAACUAAAAUUAAUUUUUUGAAAGUUAACCAAAAUUAAUUCUUUUUUUUAGGGAAGGGGUAGGUUUAACCAAAAUUAAUUGUAAAAUACUUUUUUUUAGAUAGAUGAAAUGGUAAAGCUAUUAUAAACUCACACACAUAAGUCUUCGUGAGCUUAACUCAGUUGGUAGAGACAAAGUAUAAUACAUGCAAGGUCUGGGGUUUGAAUCCCAACCACCACAAAAAAAAAAAAAAAAACUCACACACAUAAAUGGAAAUAUUGGGGUUCGAAUCCCGAUCGCGACAUCCGACCUCACAAUUUUGGCAUUUUGCUAUUUGAGCUAAGACUUCUGAAUAAUUGUAAAAUACUUUAUAUAGACAAAAAUAAAACAUCUAACAUUUUUUUUCUCUAAGUAAAAAAAGAACUGAAUUUUCCUCAAAAUAUCUAGCUCUAUCUUUUACAAGCGUUAGUGUCAAAUUGGCCUAUAAAUAGUGACCCAUGGAUUUGUAGAUAAGCAUCAACUUUUCAACAUAAAUAGACACUUUACUCUUUUCUCUAUCACUCACCGCUUCAUUCUUAUCUUCUUUUCUUCAUCACCAACAACAAACACAGCUAUGGAAGUUCUUUCUGCUACAAGAACAUCCUCCUCUUCGUUGAAUCCCAACGCUCCGAUGUUCGUUCCUCUUGCUUAUCGUACGGUGGAGGAUUUCUCUGAUGAAUGGUGGAACCUCGUUCAUUCCUCCCCUUGGUUUCGUGAUUACUGGCUCCGUGAACGCUUCCAAGAUCCACAAAACUACCAAAAUGACUCGUUUUCUGAUUUUGAAAUGAUGGAUGAAGACGAUCUUUUUCAUGUUCAUGAAAUUGAACCCCGUAAGCUAUUUUACUUAAUUGAGUCAACAAAAUAAAUAUUUUUAUGAGAGAAAGUUACGUCGUUUUAGAAACAUCGAUUUUGUUUUAGGUAACAAAACUUUAUGUGAUUAAUGGAUCUGAUUUCUUUUUUGGCGCGUGUAGAACACGAAGAUGGGAAAGAGUUGAUGAAAUUGGGAUCAUUGAAAUGGAGAGGAUCUGAUGGAUGGGCUGAAGUUCCAAGGUAUGCUGAGAAGGCUCCGAAGAUUGUGAAGCCCAGAGUGAGCCCACGGGCUAUUCAUCAGCCCAGGUAGAUUUGGUGGCAAAAUGGAAACUGGAAACGGUGUAUGUGUUUGUAGAUAAAACGAAGAGUAGCUUGACCGGUAAAAAA